CUGUAAGCGCUUGAAAGGCUUCCGCCGCCCUCUGAUGGACGCUCAACUAGACUCCCCCCGGUGCUCCAGCCCCGCCGCACCCGAAAAACCGGCCUUCAGAUAGGUUUGGCCCCGCUUUCAGCUCCGGCUCAUCCCGUCACAAGUUGGUUAAGGACUGAGAAGAGGAAGCGGCUACAAGAAACCCUGGAAUAGGGCGAGGCGGAAGUGACGCAAAAGAGAAGGUCCAUCCUUCUCCCUGAAGCUUGGGAAACGUUCCCAGGGCGAGCAUGGCCUUCUGGGAAACGUAGUCUGAAUGCUGCUGUAUCCUCUGCGCAUGCCUAGGACUCCAGCACCUCUUUGUCUGGAAUGUGGUCCUGCCUCGCUGCCUUGCCCCUCCCUUCCCGCCUUUUCCCGCUUGGAGCCCGUCCCCUCCGCUCCUCACGUUAUCUCUUGCUUGGUCUUCCCAGCCCAAAUGCCCACGGGGAGUCACGAAUCGUGGGGUCUCGUAACUGGAGGGGCCGCUGGGCUCCUCGAAAUCCAGUCUCUCCCACCAGCUGCCUGUCCACUCCGGCAGCCUGCCAGCAACAGUCAACAAGGUCUAAUUAAACGCUUCCUGUGUGCUGGCAUCUCCCCAGAGGCAAGGAUGAGACCAGGAAGGGAAGCAGUCUCUGAGGAAGAGAAGCAGGAGUUGUCUGGUGGAUGCCCAGGGCGCUUGCUCACCUUGGGGCUUGGAAAGGAGCUGGAGGUGAGGGCAGGCAGAAGAGGUCAAGAGGACGCCAGCCAACAGCUGGAAAAACCACGGACAGCAGAAGAGUUUGCUUUGGUUUGGAUUUUUUUUUUUUUGAAAGCUAUAUUGGGAAAAAGCUGGUUGAUUGAUUGUUGUCCUGCAUACACAAAGAGGACCAAAAUGACAUUACUGUGUCAGGAAUCAGCAUUGGGCAAGGCAUAAAUGGCGUCAAGAUGGGGUCACCAGCUCAGGUCCUCUGCUUCCUACUGCUCUGACUUCCAGGUAAGGAAGGAGAACAUAAAGUGGUCAUGGGAUCACAAUCAUUAUUUUAUUCUCAUUUUUUACAUCAU
rnacentral:lncRNA from 1 species